CACCUCUCAAGAGAAAGGUGUUUUCCAAAUCGUGCAGGUGAGCCUUGAGAAUUCAUUUUCAAUUUCUUGCCGACACACAUAAAGUUAAAGUCAAAAUUGUUUUGCGCAAAUUGCUACAUAGACCAACUAGACAAAGAGAACCAAUUAAAAAACUUGCUGAGCAAUCGGCACAUUAAUAUGACACAAGCGAGCUGUGAUUUGCUUUGAUUAAAAUAUCACAAGUUGAGCUAAUGACAAAACAAGAGCUAACCCAAUCAUCAUAAAUAAAUUGAAGCUAUUAAACAAGAUGUGAGCGAGAGAAAGAGGAGGAGGAGGAGCAAUAAAACUGCAGAAGGGAUAAGCCAAACGAAAGGCAAAUCAGUGACAAGCCAGCAACAUCGCCAGCGCCAUUGCCUGUGUCAGUUCGUGUCACCUAAUUGAGCAAAAGCAACAAGAGGAAAAGGACGUGGGAAAUGCUGGCUGACUGGCUGGCUGGCUCUCUGACUGGCAGGACAACCAGGAGACCAAGUUGUUUGUGCUGGGAAAUCAGUUAAGAACUUGGCGCACAGACUUGGCUCCAAACAUACAAAGAUAUAUACAAAUACGUAUGUAUAUAUGCGCAUACAUAUCUUCAACGCUGUCCCCGUUAACACUCUGCACUUUUUGUUGUUUUACCACUUGAGUGGAUUUUUGUGUUAUUUCUGUGCGCUUCUCUCUCAUUGCUGAUUUGACUUGGGCGCAGACGGUGCUACAUGCGGCAUGAGGCAUGAGGCAUGCGGCCGGAGCAUCAUCAUUUAUUAUGCGCGCCACAAAUCGAAAUCAGCAAAGCGACUUGAUUAAGAUUUAACUAAGCGUGCUCAUUCACACACACACACACACGGUGCGUCGUGUCUCUUUGCCUCACACCCAGACACGUAUGUGUGCAUAUUUAAUAUUAAAUUAAAUUGAAAUUGAAAUUCAAAGUGAAAUUGAAACAAUACACAGAAUACAAUAGGCACGCGCCAUAAAUUAUUUUAUAUGUCAGCUCAAUUUUUGUUGCUUGUCUUGCGACCAACAGCACAAUGCAAAAACAAAAACAAUCAAAUAAAAACGAGAAUGAAACAAACAACA